rnacentral:lncRNA from 1 species
GAAGGCCAGGUUAAGAGGACUCUUGGCUCCCAGCUUCUCCACCCAGUCCGUCUGCCCGUGAGGAUGCCACACCCCUCCUCCUGGAUUUGCCUGGGACCUGCCUGGACGGUUAAUAUUAACCUGAGGUGAUGAGCUCCCUUGCCAGGUUCCAGGGCCUCUUAGAAAGGUGGGAUGCUGACUCACUGCCUACGUGGCAGCCACGUGUUUCCACAGCGCCUAGGCAGCAGCAGCCAGCGGGCGGCCUCCUGCGCUAAGCAGAAGGGCCUCUUCCUCGGGGCGAGGAAGGGGAAAAGUAGCUGGUUUUCAGUGUCUCCAUCAGGGGAGGAAGGGCGCGUUAGCAAGGAGGAAGGAGGGCGUUCCAAGCAGCUUAGGGAAAAGCUUCCCCUGAUGGGCUCCCUGCUGCUCCAUCUGCCGUCUACAUCUCCGGAGGGUGUCUCCAGUUUUCCCCAAUCACCAACUAACACGCAAGGGGAGGCCGGGCUGGUGUGGAAUGAAGAUUUAUGAAAAGCACAACCAAGGAAGGGUUAAAGGCAACCUGUGAUAUGACCUGUCUGCAGAACGCUUAGCCCCUCCAACAAGGCCCUGCAAGUUCCAGAAGCAAAGGCCAGGUCUCCCUGUCUCUCUGCCUCGCUCCCACCCUCUGGACCACAUUUUCUUGCUCUGAAGACAGAGGUGCCUGAGGCUGUCAAACCUCCUCCCACCGCACCCCGCCCCCAGCAUGUUAGCAAAUCUCUGGAUAAGGAUAGAGAAGCCAGGCUUCACGCGCCUUUCCUUCUGCCCCCGUGAGCCUCCCAACAAAAGUAAAAUUAAAUAAAAUGAAAAGUUCUGUGCAAUUGAGAUUGUAGAAACUGACAGCUACAAACCUGGCACACAUGGGAAUAACAGGAGAGAGCACGGGACCUGCAGAUGUCAAAAGACGUUAUUCUGAACGCAAGUGCUCCUGCCGGGAGGGAAGCUGCCCUGCGGCUUCUCUCAAUGCCUUUAACCCUAAAAACACCGUGGCAAUGCUGAGACAGAUCUGGGUACGCUGGCAGGGGUACAUCCACCUUCUCAGCUCUGACACCCCCAGCAAGGUUUGAAAGCUCAGGAAGUUCCAAGAAAGCCCCUCUCCUGCCUGACCUGCUGGUACUGAGGCGGAAGCAUGGAGAAAGAAGAGAGGCUGGAAGGCAGCAGCAACGUAAAUCCAGCCCUGGGCCACAGCCCUGAAGUAAAGCCCUGACUUUCAGGAGGCUGGGACUCGCUCAGCUUCUGUUAAGCUGAAACAUGCCUGGUGCUACAGCUUAUGGGCGCUGGCUAAUCGCACCUUCUGAUUCACACCAUUGUUAAACCGACAGCUUGGGCAACAAGGAGAAUCACCCAGGGCCCAGCGCUCCAGGCCAAAACUGAGCAGAGUGCAAACUCAGGGCACGCAGAUGUUUGGUAAAUGAGUGGUGUGACUGCCCGGCCUGCUUUCUGCCCCAGACCAUGCGACUUGUCCCUCCAGAGAAGAGGAAAGUCUUAGGGAGAGGAGCCUGGCUCCCUCUGGACCACAUUUGCCUGUCUAGGGAGUCGCCGCUUCCCACAGCUGUCACACCCUGUUUUAAGACACCAGAACUAACCCACUGGGCCGCUGACAUCCCUUGCCAGCCUGGGGCCCGCGUGCAGGUUGGAGCACGCAGCUGACAUCACGCCUCAGUCUGGGUUAGCUGUCCCAGGGGCCCGAAUCCCAUCGCUCCUGCACAUGACCCCAGUUGCAACAGUGGGUUAAAGUUCAGAAGCAGGCUGCUGAAAACAUCCACGGUGAUAAGCUGCACCUUUUGCGGCAGAUAACCCCGGCAGGAGAGAAAACAGGUUACAGGACCUCUGAGCUGUCCCUUCCAGCAGCCUCGCUAAUAAAGACCUCUGACCAGUCUUUCUGCUGCUGAUCCCCAUUUACAGUAGAUUAAUGGAAAUUUAAUAUUUUUUCCAAAAUAAACAACGAGCCUAGUGCUUUAUUUUUCAGCACCCAGCUUAUGUUUUAUUUAUUUUUUAAAUUCAACUUAUUUAAAUUGAAACCAAAAAAACUGGCUCACCUAUUUCUUAUUUUGAGUAAAAUAAACACAUCAGUCUUCUAAGGGAUGUUUUCAGAGGUGAGGCAGAGGAGCUUCUUCUCCUCUCCAGCUGCUCAUGGAAUCAGGGUUUGCAAUCAGCAAGCAAACCCAAGCAAUGCUGAUGCCGUGAGUCAGCCCUGAGCCCCAGGGGCUGGCUGAAGGAUCCAGGUGCAGGGCUGUUUUGAGGGGAAGUGAACUUUGUCCUCUAAUCAAAAUGUUCAACUGGACUCAGAAUCUUCAACUUGGGAUCUCAUAGCUCUGAGAGGAGGAAUCAUUACCAGGUUUAAUUGGUUUAGAAUAAGAGGGGAAAGGAUACAAAAGGCAGCCGCAGCCUUAAGGAGCUUACAGUGCAGUUGGGAAGCCCAGAGCAAAACACAGAGAAGUUAACAGAAAUACAGAGUGGUUGGACCCAAAGCAUCUCCAGCAUGCUCAACCAAGUGUCUUCUUGAUGUUACCCAAAGGGAUGUUCAGAAUGCUGGUACCUACACACCCUCACCACAGACACUGUCAGUGUCAGAAUGCUCUUUAUCCAAGUGCCUGGACAACCAUUCAACCAGCCAGAGGAAUGGGACUCACAAUAAGGAAGUACAGACAUUAAGAGCAGAAUGUGAGGUCAACGGCUGUAGGAAAAAGAAAAACGGAUUCAACACCAAAGAAGCCGGUUAGAGACCACGAACCUGUUCCUUUCACCGCACACAGAUUUUCUGUUCUGUUUGCCAAAGAAUCAAGAUGUCCAUGCCAAAUAUGUGUGUGUUGAGAGCCUUGAGUCACUGCUGACCCCCAGCAGCCCAUAUGGGAGCCACAUAGAAGGGCCAUGAGUGGGGCUGCAUGCUCUCAUCCCUGAGGAAUGCAGCUUCAUCACAGGACUUGCUUCUGUGGUGACCACUGCAGGCCACCAGGAGCCCCUUUAAGAUGAAUAUGUGUGUCAGCAAGAAAUUAAUGUUGUGCUGUGAUUGCUGUGUUUGCUAUAGUAUUAGGAAAACUAUACCGGAUAUAAUAUCCCCUGAAGAUUAAGAUCAUAAAUGAGCAGGGUUGCCGCAGAGCAUCAGGGUUGUGCACUGGAGAACCAGUCUGACACCCAGGUGUGGCAGCAGGUCAUGGGACACAGCAGCAGCUGGUGGAGAAAGGCUGCCCCUGUUUCCUCUCCGCAGCAAGCCCAGGAUUAGUGUUUGUGUGUCAUGGGCCUUCAAUCCUCUCCCUCUGGCUUCUAAGCCAUCUUGUCAGGGUGGAGAAAUGGCUUAGGGGCUGGGCCUUCCUGGGGUGCAUCCCAACGGGAUCAGUCACCCUCCCACUAAGCUGCCUGGAGGAGCUUCCAGUCCAAUAGGAGAGUCACCUGCUUAACUGGACCAUUUGAACAUAAUGUAGUCAGUGCUGUGGCGAGACUUAACCUGGAGCAAAGCAGUGGGGCACUUUAAAGACUAGUGUUCUGCUUGUCACUGGCCAGUACCACAGCCAUCGCACUUCAAAAAUCUCUCUAAAACAACACAUAGAAAUAAAUUCUCCCCCUCCAAGAAUUUUGGGAGAAGAGAGGAGCUGAUAGCACCGGUUGUAAAACCUAAUCAGAAAGCAUCUGUUCCGUUCCAGAAAACAGUUACUGAGCAUCUUCUAAUGCUGCCCUCCAGAUGCCUGCACAGUUUAUAGAAUUUUAACUUGAAGAAAAAGUAUAUACUUAUUUGAUUUCAAGUGCAAAGAGAAAAAGCUGGGAUUAAGGAAGAAUUUUUCCUGAUAAGCUCAACUCUUGUGGACUAAAUGAAGAAAUAGAUUUUUUACUGGGUGUGUAAAUGCCGUGUCAUGUUUGGGCAUAAGGCCACAAGUGUGUCCAUGGGGUUUAUUAGAAGAAAAGUUCCCUCUCAACAUACCACAAGGAGUUUGAUCACAUAUUUCUAUGUAUUAAACCUCCCAACCCCAAG